rnacentral:rRNA from 1 species
GACGAACGCUGGCGGCGUGCUUAACACAUGCAAGUCGAACGCUGAAGCUUGGUGCUUGCACUGGGUGGAUGAGUGGCGAACGGGUGAGUAAUACGUGAGUAACCUGCCCUUGACUCUGGGAUAAGCCUGGGAAACUGGGUCUAAUACUGGAUACGACAUGUCACCGCAUGGUGGUGUGUGGAAAGGGUUUUACUGGUUUUGGAUGGGCUCACGGCCUAUCAGCUUGUUGGUGGGGUAAUGGCUCACCAAGGCGACGACGGGUAGCCGGCCUGAGAGGGUGACCGGCCACAGGGGGACUGAGAGAGGGCCCAGACGCCUACGGGAGGCAGAGGGGGGGAAUAUUGAACAGGGGGGGGAAGCCUGAUGCAGCAACGCCGGGGGGGGGAGGACGGCUUGCGGGUUGUAAACCGCUUUCGCCGGGGAAGAAGGGAGAGUGACGGUACGGGGAAAAGAAGCACCGGCUAACUACGUG